CCUACGGGUGGCAGCAGUGAGGAAUAUUGGGCAAUGGAGGAAAGUCUGACCCAGCCAUGCCGCGUGAGUGAAGAAGGUUUUCGAAUUGUAAAGCUCUUUUGGAUGUGAAGAUGAUGACGGUAACUUCUAAAUAAGCCCCGUCAAACUUCGUUCCCGCAGCCGCGGUAAUAAGAAGGGGGCAGGAGUUGUUCGGAAUUACUGGGCGUAAAGGGUGUGUAGGCGGGAAAGUAAGAUAGUGGUGAAAUGCCUGAGCUCAACUUGGAAAUUGCCAUUGAAACUAUUUUUCUAGAGUGACAGAGAGGAGAUUGGAAUACCCAGUGUAGAGGUGAAAUUCGUAGAUAUUGGGUAGAACACCGGAGGCGAAGGCGAGUAUCUGGCUGGCAACUGACGCUGAGGCACGAAAGCAUGGGGAUCAAACAGGAUUAGAUACCCCAGUAGUC
rnacentral:rRNA from 1 species